rnacentral:rRNA from 1 species
UACGAAGGGGGCUAGCGUUGUUCGGAAUUACUGGGCGUAAAGGGCGCGUAGGCGGUCCCUCAAGUCAGGCGUGAAAGCCCCGGGCUCAACCUGGGAACCGCGCUUGGGACUGAUGGGCUAGAGUUCGGGAGAGGAUGGUGGAAUUCCCAGUGUAGAGGUGAAAUUCGUAGAUAUUGGGAAGAACACCGAUGGCGAAGGCAGCCAUCUGGACCGACACUGACGCUGAGGUGCGAAAGCGUGGGGAGCGAACGGG